GAGUCGUCCCACUCGCUUCAACUGCGUCUACGACAAGUGGGGGUGACUGUGACGUCGUGGUACAACGGCUCGCCGCGUAUGCGCCGGGUCCAGAGGUCAAAUCUUGCUUAUGCGCACCGGCCGCGCCCACGCGUUCUUACUACUUUAAUUCUUAUUUGCUUAAUUGUACUAUAUUGUUAUAUUUAAAGUCAUUAUACGUAUUUACAUGUUAUACAGUCCACUAGUAUUAUUUACUCCACCUGCUGAGCUAUCGUCGUUACAUAUGGUCCUUCUCCCAAGAAAAAUUGAACUGGACAAAGAAGACAAAGGAUUUUGGUGAACAUCGUACACGUCAUCGAGUGACUCAGUGAUUAUUAUCAAGUUUCUUCGCUGUGAACAUUGUUACGUCGUGAUAUAUCGGCACGGCUUGAGACUUUUCGGCCGUCUUAGCUGACGUCACCCAACUGACACGAGAAGAAACGGAAUUACUCAUCAUAACGGACAGCAAAUACACGUGUUCAGAUUGUCGUCGUGCAUUGAGAUAUCUGACAAGAAUACUCCUCGGCGCAGUCAUCAUCAGUGGUUUGCACCGGAAAACAGUGAGCUCGUUCCAAUUCCUUAUUUAAUCAUCUCAUCAUCUUUCCAUCAUCAUAAUCAUAUUCAUUAUCAUCCAUAUCCUACAUUUCAUUCAUUUUUUACCUCAUAAUAAUUAAAGAACGGUGUUACAUUUUUUGCAAGUCAUCUCCACAUUAUUUCAUCAUAUUUCAUCCCAUUUUACCAUUUAUUUCAACUGUUUCAUCUCUUCAUUCAUUCAUUUCACUAUAAGUUAAUCAUAUCAAUUGCAGUGUCGUUUUAUAUUUCAGCUAAAAUCUAAUAUUAUUAUCUUAUAACGUUAACAUUACGCAGCGAUUAUCAGUGCACAAACGCCUUGCAUUUUUUAAAUAGCAAUACACAUUCUGCUACAAUCUUGCUCGUGCACUUUAUCUUGCAACUCGUUGCUAUUAUUUUAUUAGAAGUGUUAACUUGCUGUUAUAGUUUAUAUAUUUCCUUAGUGCUUUAUUACAAAAAUCUAUCGCCUUCUCUUAAAAUGUCUGACAUUAAAAGCCUUAUUAAGAAACGUGCUUCAAUUAAAGCAAAGCUCACGCAAUUUUCUUCAUACUUGAACAUUUCCAAGUCAUGUGAACAGUUGAGCGAAGUCCAGAUUGUUGAGGUUGAGUAUAGACUUAAUACUAUCGAAAAUCUAUAUGAUAAAUACGACGUGUUACAGGCCGACAUGGAAGAGAUGGUGGACGACCCUAGCGAGCAAUAUGCGGAGCGUGAGGAGUUCGAAAAGCAGUACUACAGCUUGGUGGCUGCAGCACGUCAGCUGAUCAGCAAUGCUCGCAAGCAAGCUUCAGGGAACUCCAUAGCCGAGCGCAGGUGAAUGUGUCGGAUGCUGAAGGCAACGUUCAUACUGCACGAAUCCUGCUGGAUAACGGGAGUACGACUAACCUUAUGUCACAGGAGUUGGCUCGUAAACUUAACAUUUCCACCUAUACAGUCGAGUCUAAGGAUGCGUCGGUGGAUCACGUGUGAAUCAUCAUCUUCUGUGCAGUUGCAGGUGUUUACCGACGCAUCUGAAAGGGCGUAUGGUGCUUGUUUGCAUGUCCGCAGCGUAUCGCUUAGUGGUGAGGUUCACAUACACCUUCUUACUGCUACAAGCAAAUUAGCGCCGGUCAAGUCAACGACCAUCCCCCGACUCGAACUUUGUGCUGCGUUGUUGAGUUCGAGAUUAUACGUAAAGGUACGUCAGUCACUUACACUACAUAUUGACGGCGUCUAUUUCUGGUGUGAUUCCACCAUAGUCUUGGGUUGGUUGUCCGCCUCACCCACGCAACUUAAGACCUUCGUUCGCCAUCGUGUCUCUGAAAUUCAGGAAACUGCGGAGGGUAGAACUUGGCGUUACGUUCCGUCACAAAAAAACCCCGCAGACCUCGCUUCGCGUGGACUCAGAGCAGAUAAGCUACUUUCUUCUUCGCUAUGGUGGUCGGGACCACAAUUUUUAUUCAAGGAUUCAUCUACUUGGCCUCAAUUUCCUGAAUCGCAUCAACCCACUCAAAAUCUACCAGAAACAGUAACUUCUUCUUUUCUUCUUUUCAUACCUUCAAUCAUAACGACAAUAUCAUUUCUAAAUUAUUUAAAACAUUUAAUAAAAUACAACGUUUUACCGCAUACUUACUUUUCAUUAACAUUAAAAUUAAAAAACAAACAGUUUGUCCUGGUCCACUUACAUCUAAAGAGUUGAAUAGUGCAUUACACAUUAUAUGUAUUAAGAUUUUGCCAACAGGAGUCAUUUCCUUCGUGUUGGAGUUGUAACAAUUCCUUUUAUGAUUACAAUAUAUUAAACACUAUUCUUUAAGCAACUAAACAUAUUAUUUGUAAAUUCUUAUUUGACAUGUAUCACCUACGACUUUUACAUCUUUUACCGAAAUUGUUUCUUACAACACUUCGUCACCAUUCACCCAUCAUGAUAGCUGACCGUAGGGACUUAUCAAGUGCUUUACAUGUGUGUUUGUGUGUUUAGCCACGAGGGCCGUCCAUCUUGAACCUUUAUCCGGCUUUUCUGGCUGCCAUGAACCGCUUUAUUGCUCGUAGGGGGAAGCCAAGUAACAUUUUCUCAUGUCUAGCAUUGUCCGCAGUUAAGUCAACCAAACACCAUCUCAGACGCAUCCUUGUAUUAACGAAUUUAACUUUUGAAGAGAUGGUAACAUGUUUAAUUCAAGUGGAAGCUAUCUUAAAUUCCAGGCCCUUAACUCCACUUUCCGAUGACCUUUCCGACCUUAUUCCCUUGACGCCUGCCCACUUCCUUAUUGGACGAUCGCUCAUCUUGUUGCCUCACCCACAGGUCCAGAACGAUAACGUAAACAACUUGCAGCGGUUCCGUCGCAUCGAAUGUUUGAAGCAACAUUUUUGGCCACGCUUCUCACCUGAGUACAUUUUGUGGCUCCAACAACGAACCAAAUAGCUCAGAUCGUCAGGGGAACUUACAGAAGGAACCCUUGUCGUCAUUAGAGAUAAAAGCUCACCUCCUCUGUUAUGGCUUUUAGGACGGAUCGUUAAGGUGCUUCCUGCUAGAGACGGCAUUGCACGAGUCGCCGACAUCCGCACACGUAAGGGUGUCAUUCGGCGAGCGUUCAACACAAUUUGCCCGUUACCCGUCGCCACUGCUGUUGAAGACACUUCAACGGGGGGAGUAUGUUGAGUCGUCCCACUCGCUUCAACUGCGUCUACGACAAGUGGGGGUGACUGUGACGUCGUGGUACAACGGCUCGCCGCGUAUGCGCCGGGUCCAGAGGUCAAAUCUUGCUUAUGCGCACCGGCCGCGCCCACGCGUUCUUACUACUUUAAUUCUUAUUUGCUUAAUUGUACUAUAUUGUUAUAUUUAAAGUCAUUAUACGUAUUUACAUGUUAUACA